UAACAUCUUGCUUAAAACAAAGAAACAAUUAGUCCUGAAACAGAAAAGCACACGACACAGGAUAGGCUGUAUACCAUAGUGAUAGUAACAGCAACAGCAUAUACUUAUUAAACACUUAACAUGUGCUAGGCAUUCUUGGCACAUAGGGACUUAUUUGAUCUUCACAAAAACACUAUGAACUCGGUUUCUAUUACUCUCUCCAUUUUCACAGAGGAGGAACUGAGGCUCAAAGAGGUUAAGUAACUCGCUCCAAGUCCCACGGCUGAUGUGUAGGGAAGCAAACACAAACUCAUGUGGCCUGCCUCCCUCUCCGUGCUGCUAGGUCAUAAAAGGGGACAGGUUAUGGGAUGGAUCCCAGCUCCAUGACUAUCUGACAGUAAGAUUCUGGGGGAAGUUAUUUCAUCCUUCUGUAUCUUACUUUCUCAGUUACUGGGAUUGAAUAAGAAACUGUAUGUCAGAGAUUUCACCAGGGAACUGGCACAAGGUGCCCCAAAGUCAAGAUGUGCAAGUGUGAGCUCAUCUUCCUCAUCUCCUGACCUGGAACUGUUUUUUUGUGUGUGUUCUCUGUAUUAAUGAAAUGACACCACCAUCUGCCCAGGUGUCAAGGCAGGAUACAAGUCAUCCUAGACCUGGCUGCAACAUCUUAUGCCUGGUGACUGCCAGAGUGGGUCAUCUGGCUGGCUAAGCCCACAUCUUCUGCCUCCUGGACUACUGCCAAUGGUGAGGACCUUUGCAGAUACAACAAAACCAUCCAUACUUUUUCCAGGAGGACAUAGUUGUGGUGAGUUGGCCAGAAAGAAAAGGAGAUGACUCCUCUGUAAAUUUGAAGGAAAAAUGGAAUUAAAUACCCUCCUUCACUUUUA